GGGGGCGACUUGGAUUCGACAGGGGUUGCAAAGCAUGCAGGGCAUACCGAGGCCUGGUUACCUCGUAAAUACACCCAGAAAAAACUAAACGCAAACGAUAACGUUUACGCUGUAGCCGCUUAAUACCGGCUCACCCUGCACCGUCUCUUCCCUGGGGCGGGUCGGCAACGGCAGCAGGGUCAUUUACAGGGAAUCGCUUCAGGCGUCGUCAUCUGACCUGAAGUUAAAUCAAAGGUGAACCGCCUGUGUGCAGCGUGUGCGUCCGCGUCACGCAGGUUAAAUCAAAUGACAGCACUAAGUAUGUAGAACUGUUUGUAGAGUGCUUCUGGACGCGGGUUCGACACCCGCCGCCUCCACCA
rnacentral:tmRNA from 1 species